rnacentral:rRNA from 2 species
UAACCUAGCGGCGGACGGGUGAGUAAUGCUUAGGAAUCUGCCUAUUAGUGGGGGACAACAUUCCGAAAGGGAUGCUAAUACCGCAUACGUCCUACGGGAGAAAGCAGGGGACCUUCGGGCCUUGCGCUAAUAGAUGAGCCUAAGUCGGAUUAGCUAGUUGGUGGGGUAAAGGCCUACCAAGGCGACGAUCUGUAGCGGGUCUGAGAGGAUGAUCCGCCACACUGGGACUGAGACACGGCCCAGACUCCUACGGGAGGCAGCAGUGGGGAAUAUUGGACAAUGGGGGGAACCCUGAUCCAGCCAUGCCGCGUGUGUGAAGAAGGCCUUAUGGUUGUAAAGCACUUUAAGCGAGGAGGAGGCUACCUAGAUUAAUACUCUAGGAUAGUGGACGUUACUCGCAGAAUAAGCACCGGCUAACUCUGUGCCAGCAGCCGCGGUAAUACAGAGGGUGCGAGCGUUAAUCGGAUUUACUGGGCGUAAAGCGUGCGUAGGUGGCUAAUUAAGUCAAAUGUGAAAUCCCCGAGCUUAACUUGGGAAUUGCAUUCGAUACUGGUUAGCUAGAGUAUGGGAGAGGAUGGUAGAAUUCCAGGUGUAGCGGUGAAAUGCGUAGAGAUCUGGAGGAAUACCGAUGGCGAAGGCAGCCAUCUGGCCUAAUACUGACACUGAGGUACGAAAGCAUGGGGAGCAAACAGGAUUAGAUACCCUGGUAGUCCAUGCCGUAAACGAUGUCUACUAGCCGUUGGGGUCUUUGAGACUUUAGUGGCGCAGCUAACGCGAUAAGUAGACCGCCUGGGGAGUACGGUCGCAAGACUAAAACUCAAAUGAAUUGACGGGGGCCCGCACAAGCGGUGGAGCAUGUGGUUUAAUUCGAUGCAACGCGAAGAACCUUACCUGGCCUUGACAUAGUAGAAACUUUCCAGAGAUGGAUUGGUGCCUUCGGGAAUCUACAUACAGGUGCUGCAUGGCUGUCGUCAGCUCGUGUCGUGAGAUGUUGGGUUAAGUCCCGCAACGAGCGCAACCCUUUUCCUUAUUUGCCAGCGGGUAAUGCCGGGAACUUUAAGGAUACUGCCAGUGACAAACUGGAGGAAGGCGGGGACGACGUCAAGUCAUCAUGGCCCUUACG